rnacentral:rRNA from 1 species
GACGAACGCUGGCGGCGUGCUUAACACAUGCAAGUCGAGCGGUAAGGCCCUUCGGGGUACACGAGCGGCGAACGGGUGAGUAACACGUGGGUGACCUGCCCUCAGCUCUUGGAUAAGCCUGGGAAACCGGGUCUCAUACCGGAUAGGACCUGCUACUGCAUGGUGGUGGGUGGAAAGAUUUUUCGGCUGGGGAUGGGCCCGCGGCCUAUCAGCUUGUUGGUGGGGUGAUGGCCUACCAAGGCGGUGACGGGUAGCCGGCCUGAGAGGGCGACCGGCCACACUGGGACUGAGACACGGCCCAGACUCCUAGGGGAGGCAGCAGUGGGGAAUAUUGCGCAAUGGGCGGAAGCCUGACGCAGCGACGCCGCGUGGGGGAUGACGGCCUUCGGGUUGUAAACCUCUUUCGCCAGGGACGAAGCUUUGGUGACGGUACCUGGAGAAGAAGCACCGGCCAACUACGUGCCAGCCGCCGCGGUAAUAC